rnacentral:rRNA from 1 species
GACGAACGCUGGCGGCGUGCUUAACACAUGCAAGUCGAACGGAAAGGCCCUGCUUUUUUGGUCUUCUCGAGUGUCGAACGGGUGAGUAACACGUGAGUAACCUGCCCUUGACUUUAGGAUAGCUUCAGGAAACGGGGGCGAAUACCGGUUAGGAGCUCGUGCUGCAUGGUGGGUGGUGGAAGGUUUCGGCGGUUGGGGAUGGACGUGGGGUUUCUCAUCUUGUGGGUGUGGUAGUGGCUUACCAGGUCUUUGACGGGUAGCCGGCCUGAGAGGGUGACCGGCCCCAUUGGGAUAGAGAUACGGGCCAGACUCCUACGGGAGCAAGCAGUGGGGACUAUUGCACAAUGGGCGGAAGCCGUAAGCAGCAACGCCGCGUGCGGGAUCACGGCCUUCGGGUUGUAAAACGCUUUCGCCUGUGACGAAGCGUGAGUGACGGUAAUGGGUAAAGAAGCAACGGCUAACUACGUG